rnacentral:rRNA from 1 species
CCUACGGGUGGCAGCAGUGAGGAAUCUUGCGCAAUGGGGGAAACCCUGACGCAGCAACGCCGCGUGAGUGAGGAAGGUCUUCGGAUCGUAAAGCUCUGUCGGGUGGAAAGAAAUGUAUGGGGUUAAUAGCCUUCAUACUUGACGGUACCACCAAAGGAAGCACCGGCUAACUCCGUGCCAGCAGCCGCGGUAAUACGGGGGGUGCAAGCGUGGUGCGGAGUGAUUGGGGGUAGAUUGCGUGUAGGCGGGUGAAAGCCCUGGGCUUAACCCAGGAAGUGCAUUUGAAACUGCCAGGCUUGAGUAGGGGAGAGGGAAGUGGAAUUCCUGGUGUAGAGGUGAAAUUCGUAGAUAUCAGGAGGAACACCGGUGGCGAAGGCGACUUCCUGGCCCUAUACUGACGCUGAGACGCGAGAGCGUGGGUAGCAAACAGGAUUAGAUACCCGUGUAGUC